CGCGGAAAGGGAGAUUCUCGCACGGCUGAGUCUCGCGGAACAACAACGGCGCGCGAUAUUUCGCAGCUUCAUGCGUCGUGCUGAAACUGUAACGUCGACAUGAAACAGGCUGCCCGAAGGAAUUUCGUCUAUAUCUUCUUUUAUUGGCGACACCAAGUAUGGACAUCCCGAUAUCAGCUGGCGAUUUCGCCGUGGAAAGGGCGAUUUUCCACCGACUGCUCUUUAAUAUAUCAAAGGUUAAAACAACGAACGGAGGAAAAGACGGGAGAUAAAAGAACGGGAGCAAUUUGCAAAUGAGACGGAAAUCGAGACGGAAAUUUCAAGAAACCCGAGGUGUCUCGUAGAAAAAAUAAUUUCAGCAUACAAAUGCAUUAUCAACAAUUGAAAUGAACACCCCCGCUCGAGACUGGAACCGCAACGACGAUCCGAUUGAAAUGCAUGGGAUUUCGGAGAGAAUUUGAAAAAUCUUAUUACGGCGAUACGUUUUCAAACACAACACUCUUUCCUAUAAGUCGAAAUUGAAACGAGUAUCGAGCUUAAUGCUAUUUCGGAUGAUUCGCGAUACUCCGAAAGUACGAAUUAUAAGGAAGACCGGAGUUGUAUAUAUUUGGCAUACUUUUCACAUUCUACUGUUUUUAUUUUUUUCUAUGCAGCAUUUUGUGCUGUAUAUA